UAAUGGCUCACCAAGGCGACGAUCAGUAGCUGGUCUGAGAGGAUGAUCAGCCACAUUGGGACUGAGACACGGCCCAAACUCCUACGGCAGCAGUGGGGAAUAUUGGACAAUGGGCGAAAGCCUGAUCCAGCCAUGCCGCGUGAGUGAUGAAGGCCUUAGGGUUGUAAAGCUCUUUUACCCGGGAAGAUAAUGACGGUACCGGGAGAAUAAGCCCCGGCUAACUUCGUGCCAGCAGCCGCGGUAAUACGAAGGGGGCUAGCGUUGUUCGGAUUUACUGGGCGUAAAGCGCACGUAGGCGGAUCUUUAAGUCAGGGGUGAAAUCCCGAGGCUCAACCUCGGAACUGCCUUUGAUACUGGGGAUCUUGAGUCCGGGAGAGGUGAGUGGAACUGCGAGUGUAGAGGUGAAAUU
rnacentral:rRNA from 1 species